rnacentral:lncRNA from 1 species
UAAACGUUCGAUGUGACGGGGCUUAGGGGUGUGUGGUCCAGUUCGGAAUUUUCGUUUCCGUUGGUGAAGAAGGAUGCGCGCGCGUGCGUGCAUGGACUUUUCGAGCGUGCAUCUGCAGCAGCUAGCAGCGACUUUUGCAGGGGAUGAUUGAGUUAGCUAAUCCAUCGCAACAAAGAGACCCAAUUCCGAGACAAGGAUGGAGAGCGCGAGAAAGGCGAGGACACCAUUCGAGCUGUCCCAAAAUAAUGGCGAGAUAGAGGAUCGCCUAACAAACCCUUAGAUAGUUGUUAUAU